GGUGAAUUUAAGCCCCAGUAAACGGCGGUGGUAACUAUAACCAUCCUAAGGUAGCGAAAUUCCUUGUCGGGUAAGUUCCGACCUGCACGAAUGGCGUAACGACUUCCCUACUGUCUCAACCAUGAGCUCGGCGAAAUUGCACUACGAGUAAAGAUGCUCGUUUCGCGCAGAAGGACGGAAAGACCCCGGGACCUUUACUAUAGCUUGGUAUUGGUGUUCGCUUGGACUUGUGUAGGAUAGGUGGGAGACUGUGAAGCUGCCGCGCCAGCGGUGGUGGAGUCGUCGUUGAAAUACCAUUCUGGUUUAAGCGGUCACCUUAACCUUGGCCCGUGAUCCGGGUUGGGGACAGUGCCUGGUGGGUAGUUUAACUGGGGCGGUUGCCUCCUAAAAUGUAACGGAGGCGCUCAAAGGUUCCCUCAGCCUGGUUGGUAAUCAGGUGGCGAGUGCAAGUGUACAAGGGAGCUUGACUGUGAGACCGACGGGUCGAGCAGGUGCGAAAGCAGGAACUAGUGAUCCGGCCAUGGCACGUGGGUGCGUGGUCGCUCAACGGAUAAAAGGUACCCCGGGGAUAACAGGCUGAUCUUGCCCAAGAGUCCAUAUCGACGGCAUGGUUUGGCACCUCGAUGUCGGCUCGUCGCAUCCUGGGGCUGGAGUCGGUCCCAAGGGUUGGGCUGUUCGCCCAUUAAAGCGGUACGCGAGCUGGGUUCAGAACGUCGUGAGACAGUUCGGUCCCUAUCCUCUGUGCGCGCAGGAAAUUUGAGGAGGGCCGUCCCUAGUACGAGAGGACCGGGAUGGACGAACCUCUGGUGUGCCAGUUGUACCGCCAGGUGCAUGGCUGGUUAGCUACGUUCGGAAGGGAUAACCGCUGAAAGCAUCUAAGCGGGAAGCCUGCUCCAAGAUGAGGUUUCCACGCCCCCCGUGGGGUGAGAGGCCCCCGCCAGACGAGCGGGUUGAUAGGCCAGAGGUGGAAGCACCGCAAGGUGCUCGUGAGCCGACUGGUACUAAUGGGCCAACACUAAACAAC
rnacentral:rRNA from 1 species